GUGGUUGUAGCUCAAUGGUAGAGUGCUUGCCUAGCAUGUGUGAGGCACUGGGUUCAAUCCCCAGCAACCCA
rnacentral:tRNA from 1 species